rnacentral:rRNA from 1 species
AACGAACGCUGGCGGCAUGCCUAACACAUGCAAGUCGAACGGCAGCGCGGGGCAACCUGGCGGCGAGUGGCGAACGGGUGAGUAACAUAUCGGAACAUACCCUAGAGUGGGGGAUAACGUAGCGAAAGUUACGCUAAUACCGCAUACGCACUAAGGUGGAAAGUGGGGGAUCUUCGGACCUCAUGCUCAUGGAGUGGCCGAUAUCUGAUUAGCUAGUUGGUGAGGUAAAGGCUCACCAAGGCGACGAUCAGUAGCUGGUUUGAGAGAACGGACCAGGCCACACUGGAACUGAGACACGGUCCAGACUCCUACGGGAGGCAGCAGUGGGGGAA